UACGUAGGGUGCGAGCGUUGUCCGGAAUUAUUGGGCGUAAAGAGCUUGUAGGUGGCUCGUUGCGUCGGGAGUGAAAACCCGCGGCUUAACCGCGGGCCUGCUUCCGAUACGGGCGAGCUAGAGUUCGGCAGGGGAGACUGGAAUUCCUGGUGUAGCGGUGGAAUGCGCAGAUAUCAGGAGGAACACCUGUGGCGAAAGCGGCUCACUGGACCAUAACUGACGCUGAUGCACGAAAGCUAGGGGAGCAAACAG
rnacentral:rRNA from 1 species